rnacentral:rRNA from 1 species
ACUCCUACGGGAGGCAGCAGUGGGGAAUAUUGCACAAUGGGCGCAAGCCUGAUGCAGCCAUGCCGCGUGUGUGAAGAAGGCCUUCGGGUUGUAAAGCACUANAUGUGNAAUCUUAGUCGCUAAUAUCGGCUAGCUGUGACGUUAGCAACAGAAGAAGCACCGGCUAACUCCGUGCCAGCAGCCGCGGUAAUACGGAGGGUGCGAGCGUUAAUCGGAAUUACUGGGCGUAAAGCGCGUGUAGGUGGCUUGUUAAGCCAGAUGUGAAAGCCCCGGGCUCAACCUGGGAACUGCAUUUGGAACUGGCAGGCUAGAGUUUUGUAGAGGGUGGUAGAAUUUUCAGGUGUAGCGGUGAAAUGCGUAGAGAUCUGAAGGAACACCGGUGGCGAAGGCGACCACCUGGCCAAUAACUGACACUGAGACGCGAAGGCGUGGGUAGCAAACGGGAUUAGAUACCCUGGUAGCGAGUAG